CUCAGGGGAAGCAAGAUGUGCUAGAGAACAGGGAAAAGUCAUGAAGCCAUGUGACUGCCCCAGGCCCGCGGAGCUGAUCAGUCCUCAGGUGGUUCUUUGAGAACUGAAGUCCAGCUAUCUGGGUCCCCUGAUCUUCCUCCAAGGCCUGAAGUUCAGCAGGAUUGAAGACCUAAACCCUUCUACCUUGUUUCAGCCUGAAGUAUCCAGAUCAACUUACUAGAUGGGCCGCCCGGGACUCCCAGGGGAGAAGGUCUCCGAUGCCCAGCUGUCCGGGGCUCCAGACGCCCCUGGAGAUGCUCCUGAUGACGACAUUGAUAGUACAGAGGGUUCAGACUUGGUGCCCUCUGUCACCCUGGGUACAGCGCUCAUCCUACUGUUCCUUCUGACAUCAUUCUGGCUGGCUUGGCCACGCUGCCACACCUCCUACUAAGAGGGUUCCCAAGUGGAGGGCAUCAGGACAGUUGGGCUUCUAGCCCCACUCUGGGUCAAGGACACUCAAUGCCGUGGGAAAUUGUUGCCAGAGACUCCUGUGGGGGCUCCAGCCUGGACUCCUAUGCUUGGGCAGCUCGUGCUCACCUGGUCCAGUUCCCUUGAUGCCUGGUGCUAGUCAUGUUUCCCAUCUUUGUAAAGCCAUGCUGGGGACUUCAGAUAAAGCUGAAUGACUUCAGUCACUUGUGUCGA